GAUGAACGCUGGCGGCGUGCCUAAUACAUGCAAGUCGAGCGAACAGACGAGGAGCUUGCUCCUCUGACGUUAGCGGCGGGCGGGUGAGUAACACGUGGAUAACCUACCUAUAAGACUGGGAUAACUUCGGGAAACCGGAGCUAAUACCGGAUAAUAUAUUGAACCGCAUGGUUCAAUAGUGAAAGACGGUUUUGCUGUCACUUAUAGAUGGAUCCGCGCCGCAUUAGCUAGUUGGUAAGGUAACGGCUUACCAAGGCAAUGAUGCGUAGCCGACCUGAGAGGGUGAUCGGCCACACUGGAACUGAGACACGGUCCAGACUCCUACGGGAGGCAGCAGUAGGGAAUCUUCCGCAAUGGGCGAAAGCCUGACGGAGCAACGCCGCGUGAGUGAUGAAGGUCUUCGGAUCGUAAAACUCUGUUAUUAGGGAAGAACAAAUGUGUAAGUAACUAUGCACGUCUUGACGGUACCUAAUCAGAAAGCCACGGCUAACUACGUG
rnacentral:rRNA from 1 species